rnacentral:rRNA from 1 species
GGUGGCGACCGGCGCACGGGUGCGUAACACGUAUACAAUCUGCCUCCAACAUGGGGAUAGCCCGGAGAAAUUCGGAUUAAUACCCAGUAACAAAUUUUAUGGCAUCAUAAGAUUUUGAAAGCUACGGCGGUUGGAGAUGAGUAUGCGUCUGAUUAGCUAGUAGGUGAGGUAACGGCUCACCUAGGCUACGAUCAGUAGGGGAUCUGAGAGGACUACCCCCCACACUGGUACUGAGACACGGACCAGACUCCUACGGGAGGCAGCAGUAAGGAAUAUUGGACAAUGCCCGCAAGGGUGAUCCAGCCAUGCCGCGUGCAGGGAGAAGGCCCUAUGGGUCGUAAACUGCUUUUGAACAAGAGAAAACCCCUUUACGUGUAAAGGGCUGAUAGUAUUGUUAGAAUAAGCAUCGGCUAACUUCGUGCCAGCAGCCGCGGUAAGACGAAGGAUGCAAGCGUUAUCCGGAUUCAUUGGGUUUAAAGGGUGCGUAGGCGGCCUGAUAAGUCAGUGGUGAAAGCCUGUUGCUUAACAACAGAACUGCCAUUGAUACUGUCGGGCUUGAGUACAGUUGCUGUGGGCGGAAUAUGACAUGUAGUGGUGAAAUACAUAGAGAUGUCAUAGAACACCGAUUGCGAAGGCAGCUCACAAAACUGUAACUGACGCUGAGGCACGAAAGUGCGGGGAUCAAACAGGAUUAGAUACCCUGGUAGUCCGCACCGUAAACGAUGAUUACUCGCUGCUAGAGGGCAACUUUUAGUGGCUUAGCGAAAGCGAUAAGUAAUCCACCUGGGGAGUACGCCGGCAACGGUGAAACUCAAAGGAAUUGACGGGG